CGUCUCUUCCCAUCCCGCUCCCCUUGUCUAUGCCGCCGCCGCUGCUUCCCCUCUCCCUCUCCCCGCCUCCACCACCACCUCCUCUCCUGCCUCCUCCCCAACCAGCACAGCUAGAGGAGGUGACAGAUUGGGAGGCGGGCAAAAGGAACCAGGCGGUUCUCCUUCCAUGGUUGGGCCUCGACCUGCCACAUCUUCCUCCUCCCAGUCAGGCGAAGAGGAGUGGCGGAUCCGCUUCCUCAAGCGAGCAGGGGCGCACGGGGAUUCGGAUCUCGUUGCGAGAGGCCGCCACCACAGAAGUAGGUCCGCGGUGCCGUCACUCUGCUCAAGCUACUGAUUCAUCCCGUGCGGCGGCAGAAGGAGGUCCUGCAGCUUGCUUCCGUACUACUCCUUGCCGUGUGGGUCAAAAUCUCCAGCGGUGCUGUCGUCUGGGUGAGCCCCCCGUCACGGCUGAGACCAGCUCGCCGCCGUCGGCCAUGCCACUCUCGCCGGCGCACGGAGCACCUCCCCUCCAAGCACAGGUCGUUACAACGCCGAUUAUGGAUAUGGAUUCAUCCAGCUGCGCUGGAUGAAGGGAUGGUUGGAAUAAGAAUUGCAUGUGACAAACAAGUGCUUCCUCUAGAUGGGAUUCCAAAUGUCAGGUGGUUUGGUGUAGAGAGGGUGAUUACAAUGUUUUGGUGAUGGACCCACUGAGGCCAAGCCUUGAGCAUCUUUUCGUUUAGUUUUAUCUUUGUUUGCUGAGAUAAGCGAGAUAGUACUCAUUCCAAUUCCGGAUAAUUUGUCUGCAUAGCCUUCGAAUGGCACAUAGUGACCUCAGACUGGAGAAUGUUCAUGUAAGACCAGUAGACAAACGUUGUCAAAGAAAGAUUUCUGAUUCUCAGAGAAUUAUACUAUUGAGAUGUUCACAAAGGGCGUCCCUAAUGCAAGGAUGCACUUGAAUACUCUUCAGGAGAGCAGGAAAAAUUUGCAUAUUACCUAAAUAGGGUUUCCAUAUUAUUUAUUUAUUUGUUUUGCUUUUGUGCAACAAUUAGAUUUUCCGACACUAAUAUUGUUGUUUGUUGCAGACAUGGUUGUCACACAUGCGUCCUGUCCCAAUGGCUCAAAUUGUUGGUCCUCGCAUGGCAAUGUCCCUGCUUGUAUUCAUGGAGUUGGUCAGCAACUCUCUUAUGGCCAGCAACCUCCAAUGUUU